rnacentral:lncRNA from 1 species
GGACAUCAGCAUUCAAAUACGCCCAUGUGUCUCUAACUUUUUGAUACUCAACGUACGCGUAAGGUAGAUCAUGCUGGACUAUAGUCUUAGCUACCAUCUGUCUGAACACAGUAUGAUCAUACUUGCGAGAUACUACUUUCCCUUCAGUAUUGAGUUGUUGCUGCCUCCCAGUAUUCCUUGGAUACAUUUUACAUCUCCCCCG